rnacentral:rRNA from 1 species
UACGGGGGGGGGCAAGCGUUGUUCGGAAUUACUGGGCGUAAAGGGCUCGUAGGCGGCCAACUAAGUCAGACGUGAAAUCCCUCGGCUUAACCGGGGAACUGCGUCUGAUACUGGAUGGCUUGAGGUUGGGAGAGGGAUGCGGAAUUCCAGGUGUAGCGGUGAAAUGCGUAGAUAUCUGGAGGAACACCGGUGGCGAAGGCGGCAUCCUGGACCAACACUGACACUGAGGAGCGAAAGCGUGGGGAGCAAACAGG